AUGAAAGUGAAAAGUGAAAGUGAAGUCGCUCAGUCGAGUCGGACUCUUUUUAUUAAAUUAUCUUUUAGUUUUCCCAUUGAACUCUAUGGGUUUUCAGAUGUAUAUCCAUUAUCAUUAGCGCAUAAAAGGGAACUGCAGAAGGUGAAAAAGUAAGCAGAAACUGCCAGGUUGACCCUUGAGAAGUGUGUAGAAGAGGUCCCCUCCUGAGUCUGGAAGACCUCAGGAGAAAUCCCUUUGAGACAUCUUUAGUAUCAAGGGUGCUGAAACCCAAAUAAACGUGAGUGGAAAAGCAUAGGAUUUACCUAGCUCAGAUAGGCUUGCCAUGCCUCGACCACCCAUCAGCUGGGAGGAAUGGGGAUACUAGCAAGCGGAAGACUAGCAGAAGGCGAAAACUAUCGUGAAACUGCGGGCCUGUGAAUCCUCCGUAGUCACCUCUCGAGAGUGCACGGGAGAACUACCGAGUAGCGAGCUCACUCUUCCUAGAGUGGCGGCGGAAGUGACCAGAUGUUCCGUACUCCUCGGCCGCUUCCGGCUUUUGUGGGUCGCUCUUGGUGGGUUCCGGUUCGGAAACCGUUCGAGACUUCACCCCCUUGAAUCCGGGAGGGAAACUUCUGCUGGCCUCCUGGGGCUACGGUUGAGCGAGCUUUUGCUGCGGACGCGGCGGGUGGGCUGCUGGCCGUCCUCGGGCCAGGCUGGAGCGGGGCGUCCUCUGGUGCUAACUUGCCCAGUUCCAGCCAGAAAGAAACGACACAGGAGAUUUUGCUUGAAGCAUUGAUAAGCUUUUGUAUAGCAAUGAUGGCAUAUACUUGGUCUAUCCAGGCCAAGAAAGACCAGGAAGAACUUUUGGAAGUAAAGAUAGAAGAAGAGGAGCUGGAGGAGGAGCAUAAAUAUGCCACUACACAGGAUCAGAACCUGCAAAAGAACAACACCCACAGCAGGGAGGUCUUCCGACGGUACUUCAGGCAGUUCUGCUACCAGGAAACAUCUGGGCCCCGUGAGGCUUUGAGCCGACUCCGGGAACUUUGCCAUCAGUGGCUGAAGCCAGAGACCCACACCAAAGAGCAGAUUCUGGAACUGCUGGUGCUGGAGCAAUUCCUGACCAUCUUGCCUGAGGAGCUCCAAGCCUGGGUCCAGGAACAGCAUCCAGAGAGUGGGGAAGAGGUGGUGACUGUGCUGGAGGAUUUAGAGAGAGAGUUGGAUGAGCCAGGAUAUCAGGUCUCAGUCCGCAGUGAGGAACAGGAAAUGUUCUUACAGGAGAUCGUACCUCUAAGAACAGAACAGGAACCCAGAAUGUGCCUUCUGUCUGUGCAAGCCCAGCCAAAGUGUGAAUCUGCAGAACUUGAAGCCCAACAGAAGCAAGAUAUUGAGACUAGAAAUGAGCAUAGGAAUUUAAAGCACGAAGUUUCUCCAGAAAUGAAACAAUAUGGGAAUAUAGCUAGCAAAUUUGAAAAUGAAAUGUCUCAACCAGCUAGGUAUGAAAAAACAUAUGAAUCUGAAGAAAAAACAGGAGAGUCUUCUGAAUAUUCAAGGGAAGAUAAAGAACCUACAUGUGAUAAAAAUGGAGUAAGUUUGACUGAGAACUUAGAUCUUUCUAAACACCAGAGAAUUUGUCCAGGAGAAAAACCUUAUGUAUGUGAUGUCUGUGGAAGAGCUUUUAGUCAACACUCAUGUUUCGUAGAACAUCAGAGGAUCCAUACUGGAGACAGGCCCUACAAAUGCAAAGAAUGUGGAAAAACUUUCCGUGGGAGAACUGUGCUUAUUCGACACAAAAUAAUACACACAGGAGAGAAACCCUAUAAAUGUAAUGAGUGUGGCAAAGCCUUUGGCCAGUGGUCAGCUCUUAAUCAACAUCAGAGACUUCACACAGGAGAGAAACACUACCACUGUAAUGAAUGUGGCAAAGCCUUUAGCCAGAAAGCAGGCCUCUUUCACCAUCUCAAAAUCCACACAAGAGAUAAACCUUAUCAUUGUACUCAGUGUAAUAAAAGUUUUAGUCGGCGUUCAAUUCUUACCCAACAUCAAGGAGUUCAUACUGGGGCAAAGCCCUAUGAGUGCAGUGAGUGUGGAAAAGCCUUUGUUUAUAACUCCUCCCUUGUUUCCCAUCAGGAGAUCCACCACAAAGAAAAAUGCUAUCAGUGUAAGGAAUGUGGGAAGUCCUUCAGUCAGAGUGGCCUUAUUCAGCAUCAGAGAAUCCACAAUGGAGAGAAACCCUACAAGUGUGAUGUAUGUGGAAAAGCCUUUAUUCAGAGGACAAGUCUUAUAAAACAUCAACGAAUUCACACUGGAGAGAGACCCUAUAAAUGUGAUAAGUGUGGGAAGGCUUUCACUCAAAGAUCAGUCCUCAAGGAACAUCAGAAAAUGCACACCGGAGAGAGGCCCUAUAAAUGCGAUGGGUGUGGGAAUGCCUUCCGAGAAAUCACGAGCCUCAUUCAGCAUCAGAGAAUCCACACUGGGGAGAAACCCUACCAAUGUGAUGAAUGUGGCAAAGCCUUCAGACAGAGGAAGAAGACUAGCUACAAGGAAAUACUUCUGAAAAAUCAAUGUGAACCACAAGCUGGAGUGAAUCUUCUUCUGAGCUCGCUUAUUCCAGAAUGGCAGUCCUCUUGCAGAAAAGACCUCUACUAGUGACUGAUGGUAGAGGGCAGGGUUGUGCCUGUCCAAGAAUCAGACUGGCACAGCAAAAUCUUUCUUCAAAUUUUAAGUUGUUGCUACCAGGAAAUAGAUACUUGAGCCUCACAGGUCUGUCAGAAGAUGGGUAGCUCUGCCCACAGAUUCAGAGAGCAGAGAUGCAGACCGAGGAGCAGGUGCUAAAGCAGGUCCUGACCUCUGCCUGGAGAACUGCAGACCUAGGGAGGAUAAUAUCAUCCAGAAUGUGGAAAAAAAUUAUGCUGGAGAAGUUAAAGAGACAGCUUGAUGGACAAGCCUUAAAGCGGGAAGGGUUGGGAGGAUGAUUUAUGGCUUGAGUAGUGAAAGGAAUAACAUAGAAAGCAGCAAAACCGAACUAAAGGACCCAUCAGAUGUAUUUGGAGCCAUAACUCUGUAUCACCUUCAUGGGCUUUAAUUCCCCUGGCUAUUCAUGUACACCUCUGGAACCUUCUCUCUCUAUAUUGGGUUUUUAUUGUUGUUGGUGGUGUAUGAGUAUUUUUACUGAGGGACUAGCUUCAUAUUCAAUUUUCCAAGACCAUCUCUUCAUCCCAUUGCUUUUAGGGUCCAGGUAGAACAAGGAUAGAACAAGAUACACUUUUGGCAAGAUAGUACCCUGGAAUCAGAAGUGUCACGUCCAGCCUGUUAAAAUGCUUAGUUUUACUCUCACAGUAUUGCCUUAUGAAGUGAAAAGCAGAUGAGAAAGCAAAUCUCCUGAGAAAGAAGACAUCUUUGAAAGGCAGCUUUUUAGAACUAUUAUGGAGUUACUGAGAAUGAAAAUAAGGACUUGUCUCCAACACAUAUAAAAAUCUGAAGAUGCUGUAAUGUGGGGGGAGUCUGCAGAAUUACACCAGUGCAGUAAGUUAGUAAAAGUUUUAGUCACUGGUGAGUCAUUACUCACCAUUAGGGAACACAUAUCAAAGAAAAUGCUUGAGAACAACAUGUUUGUAAAGGCUUUUGUUUACAGUGGGUCCCUCCUUUCCCACUAGGAAAUCUAUCACAAAGGAAAUGCUGUCAGUAUAAAGAAUGUGGGAAAGCCAUAUUUGACUUUAGAAAAUCUGCAAAAGCGAGAAACCGCAUACAUGUGAUGACUGUAAGGAGGCCUUCAUUCAUCAUGGAAACCUUCUAGAACAUUAUGUGAAGGAAGCAAAAAGAAAGGCCUUCAGCCAGAAGUCAAAACUGACUGCACUAUAGAUUCUACAUGGGAGACAGAUCUACUAAAUGUGAUGAAUAUGGAAAUGUUUUCCAUGGAAUCAUAGCAUUAUUCAGCAUUGGGGAGAAGAUCACACUAAAGAAAAACUGAGUGUCAUGGGUUUGGAAAAGUCUUCAGAGGUUGGACCUUAGAAAAUAUCAGGGAGUCCAUAUUAGAGAGGCUCUUAUAAAUGAGAAGAUUGUAGGAAGUUAUAUGGACAGAUAUCAAGCCUCAACAAUAGAGUCUCCAUGAUACUGGAAAAUUCAUAUAAUUAAUGUAAAUGGGCAAGAUGUAUGGGGAAUGGAUAUCUUAAAUUGCCCAUUGUAGCCACAAAGAACAUUCAGUGAAUUUCUCAAGUCAAGAAAAGGGAAAGUCAUAAGUUCUUUUUGCUCCUGAAAGGUCUAUAAAUAUGAACAAUCAGGAGUUUUGAAAUGAAGAUGUUUACCUGCAUCCCUGGACUUGUGCUACUGUCUCUAAGAUGACUGUUGGGGACAUGGUAUUUUGCCAUGCCCACUCUAAUCUCACAUCUUAAAUUCAUUCAAGUGUAGAUAAUAUUGUCUACUGCUUGUUGUAAAUUAAUUUUUAUGGGCUAAAUAGGCUUGUAUGAGUACCCCAGGACAUAAAAAUGACAUUUUUAAAGCUUCAGUAAGCAUAGUAAAAGGAACCACGUCAUUGAAUUGUUAGUACUUUUUAAAAUUUGGCAUUGCUUCUGUGUUCUAACACAAGGCCAUAGAGGUGUUGAUCACAGAGUAUAUAUUUCCCAGCUUGGUUUUUUUUUUAAAGAUAGAAAGUGAUAUUUCACAUAUAGCUUUGACAGAUAAUAGGUUAUUUUCUUUUAUAGAUAACACAAUAUAAUAUCCUGGAGGCUAAUAUUUUGAAGUAACAUUACUUUCAGUUCUAAAACCUACAGGAUAAAAGAGGAAAUAAUCUAAGCUGUUCUUCAGCAAUUUGGCAGUAUAGCCCAAUCUCUAUGAGAAUGAAGCUUAUGGAUUUUAUAGUAGGUCAUUAAAUAUAGGAACCACAGAUUUCAAAAAAUUGCAAUGAUUAUUUCACAGUUAGGAGUUUAUAUCUGCUGCAAAUGCCUGAAUUUUCUGAGUAGAUACUAUAGUCACUUAUUUUAAAAGACAGACUGCAUUCUAUUAAAGACUUUUUCAGCAUUAUAGAAACUACAUUUUCCACUUAAUUUUAUUAUCACCUUGUAUUACAUGAAAGGAUUUCCUAAUAUUGAACCAACCUUGCAUUCCUGGAAUAAAUUUCACUUAGUCACGGUGUUUUCUUAAUGUGUUAAUGGGUUCUACUUGCUAAUACUUUAUUUAGUGUAUUUUUACUCAGUAUUCAUAUAAAAAGGUGUCAUCUUUUAGAUCUGUCAUUUUAUUCUACAUUCAUGGUUAGGUUUUAAUUUUACUACAUCAUAAAAAAAACUUUAAGUUUUUGUUCUUUUUUGUUUGUUUUUAAUGUUCUAGUACCAUUUGUAAAGCAUUGAAAUUAUCUUGUAUUUGAAAGUUGAAUUCUGAUGUAAAACUAUCUGGGGCGGGUGCUUUUUUGUGGGAAAAAAUGCUAUUUAUGUAAUUGAAAUCAUACAGAGUAUAUUCUUUGACCAUAAUGGUACCAAACUAUGAAAUAACAGUAAGACAACAGAAAACUCUCCAAACAUUUGGAAACUAAGGAAAAUAUUUCUAAAUAAUGCCCUGGUCAGGAAGGAACUCUCAAAGGAAUUUUAAAAUACAUAAAUUGAAGGGAAAUAAGUACAACCUAUGACAAGAUGUGAGACACAGCUAAAGAAAUGUUGAGAA